GCACAUAUGUCCCCGAGGAACGUACGAUGUCCUCCUCUGACGACAGACAACCUUCUCUCCCAGAGAGCACAUUCCAUGUCCCUCCAUCUUCCAACUGAAAUCAGCCGCAUCUUCGACACAAGAUGUUGCUAAGCAGCUCUGCCAGGAGAGCCGUAAGAAUGGGGAGACACUCCUCUGCUGGCUAGCAAGAGUAGAGAGGAAACGCAAGUACGACAUGCACGUUUUUCUGGAGUUUUGGCUCCACACACAGAAGGCCUACAAUGAAGAAAUAAUAGUCCCAUUUUUAAUAUUUCAAGGACCAGCUCAAACAGUUUUUCUUCACAUCCUCACCAAUACUCCUCAUUUUCUGCCAUCCAUUUGAUCACCAUUGAGUGAUAAUUACAGUUUUGAUUUGUAUUUGCUGGAUGCAGCUGCUUGCCAGCCUCCACUGCAAGAGA